rnacentral:rRNA from 1 species
AGUGAUUGUUUAGUGACUGAGUGGCGGACGGGUGAGUAACGCGUGGAUAACCUGCCUCACACAGGGGGAUAACAGUUGGAAACGGCUGCUAAUACCGCAUAAGCGCACGGUGCUGCAUGGCACAGUGUGAAAAGCUCCGGCGGUGUGAGAUGGAUCCGCGUCUGACUAGCCAGUUGGCGGGGUAACGGCCCACCAAAGCGACGAUCAGUAGCCGGCCUGAGAGGGCGACCGGCCACAUUGGGACUGAGACACGGCCCAGACUCC